rnacentral:piRNA from 1 species
UAGUCAAGCUACAGAGUUGCCCUGGCUA